AAGCUCGUAGUUGAAUUUCGGGGUUAGUAGGUUGGUCAUGCCUCUGGUAUGUACUGGUCUCACUGAUCCCUCCUUCCUUAUGAACCGUAAUGCCAUUAAUUUGGUGUUGCGGGGAAUUUGGACUGUUACUUUGAAAAAAUUAGAGUGUUUAAAGCAAGCUAACGCUUGAAUACAUUAGCAUGGAAUAAUGAAAUAGGACGUUCGACCUUAUUUUGUUGGUUUCUAGGAUUGACGUAAUGAUUAAUAGGGAUAGUUGGG
rnacentral:rRNA from 1 species